CAGCUAGCGUGGUUGGCGGCGACAGCAGCAGCUCCUCAGUCGACUUCUCCGGCAUAUUUUCCCUCGAGGAAAAGGAAAGAGGGCGAGAUAUGAGUCACGUUGAGGUCUUCGAGGAGACGUAUAAGAAAAAGAAGAAGGAUGGUACAAGAGAACACUGGGUGGAGACACGAAGAUUAUCAUAAAGGGUGAAAGAAUGGCAACAAACUCAGCCUCUUUCAAUUCAACCAACACCUGAUGAUAUGGGUUCAUUGUGGACAGUGACAGCGGGUGGAGUAAAGAAAGGCAGAGUCUACGAACUUGGAGUAUGCCGACCUACAGGUCAUCCAAACCCACUCCUAGCCAAUUCUUCUUCUUCUCAAAAUUAAGAACAAAUGGAAGAUAUAAGAAAGGAAAUUCGUGAUUUGAAGCAACAAUUGGACUCCCAAUUCGGAACAUUUGUUAAGAUGCAGAAAUUCAUGAGAAAACAUGAGCAUGAUCUAUCUGAUGAUGAGGAUGAACAAACUGAAUCUGAUGUGUAGUAGUUUAGGUAUGGUAUUUUGGUUGAUUGGUAAACUUGAUUGUGAGAGACAAUUUUAUGUUUUAUUUUAAAACUUGAAUGUGGGCUACUAUUUAGAUGUUUUUAUGCCCAAAAUUGUUAGGUUUAAUGGUUGGUAUUGUUGUUUUAGGUUAUGUUAAUAGUUGGUAUUGUUGGUUUAGAUUAUGUUAAUGAUUGGUAUUGUUGGUUUAGA